rnacentral:lncRNA from 1 species
GACUGAAUAAAGUGAUCAGGAAGGCUGGAUCUGUGAUUGGCUGAUGGUUAUCAAACCUGACCACCCUGAGCACCAGUUACUGAACAGGCAGUAGAUCACCUUCUCUAUCAGGCUGCCAUACCACAUGCUUUUACCCGAUAUGGAAUAAUUUAUCUGAUUGGAGAGAGCCAUCUGCCUGAUAUUUGUUUUAUUAGUAUUUAAUCAUCAUUUCAACUGUUUUAACAAAAGAUCUCCCUAAACAUGGGAUAAAUAAAGUAUUCCUCAUCUCAUUACCUCAUCAUUUCAUCCAGCCGGGAGCUGAUGGUAACGCAUGCAUCAGCUGAGGAAGUCACUUGGAUGAGUCAUGAAACAUUUCUCACAGUGAAAAAGUGUCCACAUGAACUGAAUCAACUUUCUGGGAUUUCCUUACCUGGAUUAUUGAGAAUGCAUCACGACACACAUCAACCUUUGCAAUAUUUCACUAAAACUAAUGUGACGCUACAGGAAGAAUCAGAGGAAUGUGCUAAGGUCAACGAGUGAUGUAUUUCUUUGGCCACAGGACGCCCACAGCAUCUAUCCACACAGGAUCAGACACGCCGUUCACUCUGCAUUUGUGCAAGCUUUUUUAAACAGGUGAAUCCAGCGUGGCACCUACUCAGCGCCAGCCUGAACAACAACGCUACAGAGGAGAACUCAGUCAAGCCUGUCGCAUUGACCUACUUGACAGUGGUGAGCCGAACAGUGAGAGCUUGAGAAGUCAGUGUCUGUCUCUUUCCCCUCACGCUGUCUCCUCUUCCUCGCUUCCUCCCCUUGGCCGUUUUUUGCAUCGCGCGAAUCGCAGCGUGCACUGAAGCAACAGAGUAAAGAGGCUGGCGAACACAAAGGACAAAGUGGCAUUUUAAUUUAACUGGAAAUCAAAUCUCACAAGCCUAAUUAAAUAUCACAGCUCUCGUUUUGUUCAUUUAAGAGUCAAAUUAGAAGAUAUCACUGACUACGAGGAAAAGAAAGCAAAGUUAACCACUGAAAACAAAUAGAAAAAAACCUCUUUACUGUUAAAAUGAUAAUGAUAUGCAUGUGAUUAUAAAGAUUAGAAAGUUUAGCACGGUUUUUGGCAUCACACUUUAAAUAAUAAAGAUAAUCUGACUUGACCUGAGAUAGACUGACAUUAAUAGGGGAAGCAUCCAGUCUGAAAUAGCGCACCACUUUGCUGUCACUCAAUAUAUGGCUGCCAUGGUAACUGCUGGUAAGGCUAAAAGCCCCAUUAAAUACGAGUUCAGCUGAAAAUGUGAAGGAAUAAAGUUAAAGUUUUGCCUCUUUUUUUGUUCUUUUGUUUUUUUUCAGGGGCCUAUACCUGGAUGUCUUGAAGAACAAAUGAACAUGCGUGACACAGUUUGCAGAGCGAUUUCUCGAUCUCUGGGAUGUGUGAGCGAAAAAGUGUCGAGGCAGUGGGUGUUAAAUCCUACAGAUUGUUUGCGUUUCAUGCUACUUUGGGAACUCUCACUGCAGUGGUGACAUUUAUGAAUUUCACACGAGCCAGAUCCAACAGAUACAUUUUACAUAACACCGAUUUUUUUUUCCCUUUUGUUUUUGUUUUGCAGCUAAUCUGCAACUUUGCUUUCCUCUAAUCAGUUUUCAACACUCUAAUUAAAACAAAUUUGUUAUUUCUGUUUGGUAUCACAGGUAAAAGAACAGUGGG